AAGCGGGCACACAGGCGGAUCGCCGGCGAGACCCCUUUCCCUUGAUGCUAUUGCCUUCGCGAACCAUCUCGGGAAUUGGUAUGCUUUCAAUUGAACCGACAAUCAUAGAUUUAUAAGAGCUUUCAUGGAAGAAUACAGAUUUAUACUUGGUGAAGGGAAGGAAAAGGAAAAUUGUAUAUCACUCUUUACAUUAUUUUUAGGGGUGAAACUACGCUGAAAGAAGUAAAGUACUUGCAUUCCUCUGAAACUGCUGAUGAUUUAAAGCCAGUGACGCAUCUUCUUGCUGUUAAUGCUUAUUCAAGAAAAGGGAUAAAAUUACUGCAUGAGGGAAUUAAUUACUUGGUAAUAUCAACUCCGUGGAAGGAUACGUUGCAAUUUAAUUUGUUAUAGUAGGACCUCACCUCCCUAUGUUGGUGUAGAUUGAAUGAUCAAAAAGAUCUAGUUUUGGUGCACUGUUUUAAAUCAGGGUUUAGUCCUGAAUAAUUCUCAUGUUGAUUAUUUAUCUUUAAAUUUUAGUCACAAGGAGAACGUCCUUUAGUUUUUGCAUCAGUUGUGCAACUUCUAUGAAAGUAUA